rnacentral:sRNA from 1 species
GCCAGGUAUGGUGAUAUAUGCCUGUAAUCCCAGCGACUCAGGAGACUGAGGCAGGGGGAUUGCAAGUGUGAAGCAAGCCUCAGCAAUUUAGUGAGGCCCUAGGCAACUUAGUGAGACCCUGUCUCAA